CCAACAACAGUCACUGAGCCAGUUCUGAUAAGUUUCUCUGACCGCACCUCAUGCAUUAGCAGCAGGCUGCUCAGCUGUUGGAUCCGUUAUCACAUAAAGGAUCCGUUCAUGCUCUAAAACAAUCUUAAGUUUCCUAAGCUAGUUGUUGAAAUUGGGUCGAGUCAACUUGUCAUUAUCCAACAAUGAACGAAGUGACAAACUAGUGGCCAUUUCUGCAUA
rnacentral:lncRNA from 1 species